UACGUAGGGGGCUAGCGUUGUUCGGAAUUACUGGGCGUAAAGCGCGUGUAGGCGGGUCUUUAAGUCAGGGGUGAAAUGCCAAGGCUCAACCUUGGAACUGCCUUUGAUACUGGAGACCUUGAGUCCGGGAGAGGUGAGUGGAAUUGCGAGUGUAGAGGUGAAAUUCGUAGAUAUUCGGAAGAACACCAGUGGCGAAGGCGACUUACUGGACACAUAUUGACGUUGAGGUGCGAAAGCGUGGGGAGCAAACAGG
rnacentral:rRNA from 1 species